rnacentral:misc_RNA from 1 species
GAACUGCGAUACGUAGUGCGAAUUGCAGAAUUCAGUGAGUCAUCGAAUCUUUGAACGCAAAUGGCGCGAAUUGGGCGCUUCCCAAUUCGCAUGUCUGGUUGAGAAUCGGUAUUCUAUCGUACUCUAUUGCGAGUGCUGCUGGAUGUUUGUUGCUGUGCAAGUAACUCACCUUAAAGAAUACCACAUUUAGUUGUUUAUGGCCUGUAUACAUACAGCCACGAAAGUUGAUUCAACCUCGUGCUUAUGGUGCAUGGCCCUACAAUGUAUUACAUUAAAUUUUCCGAUCUCAACUCAGACAAGAUUACCCCCUGAACUUAA